AUUGAACGCUGGCGGCAGGCUUAACACAUGCAAGUCGAGCGGAGAUGAGGUGCUUGCACCUUAUCUUAGCGGCGGACAGGUGAGUAACACGUGGGUGACCUGCCUUCGAGUGGGGGAUAACGUCUCGAAAGGGACGCUAAUACCGCAUAACAUCCCGCCUUUGGACAGGCGGAGAUCAAAGCCGGGGACCGCAAGGCCCUGCGCUUGAAGAGGGGCCCGGGCCGGAUUAGCUAGUUGGUGAGGUAACGGCCCACCAAGGCGACGAUCCGUAGCCGGCCUGAGAGGGCGGACGGCCACACUGGGACUGAGACACGGCCCAGACUCCUACGGGAGGCAGCAGUGGGGAAUAUUGGACAAUGGGGGCAACCCUGAUCCAGCGAUGCCGCGUGGGUGAAGAAGGCCUUCGGGUUGUAAAGCCCUUUAGGUUGGGAAGAAGUGAAUUGUAGGAUAAUGACAGUUCAUUGACGGUACCGACAGAAUAAGCACCGGCAAACUCUGUGCCAGCAGCCGCAGUAA
rnacentral:rRNA from 1 species